rnacentral:rRNA from 1 species
CCUACGGGUGGCAGCAGUGGGGGAUAUUGCACAAUGGGGGGAACCCUGAUGCAGCGACGCCGCGUGGGUGAAGGAGUGCUUCGGCAUGUAAAGCCCUAUCGGCAGGGAAGAAGCAAGACGGUACCUGACUAAGAAGCCCCGGCUAACUACGUGCCAGCAGCCGCGAUAAUACGUAGGGGGCGAGCGUUAUCCGGAUUCACUGGGUGUAAAGGGAGCGUAGACGGCCAUGCAAGCCAGGGGUGAAAGGCCGGGGCCCAACCCCGGGACUGCCCUUGGAACUGCAGGGCUUGAGUGCGGGAGGGGCAGGCGGAAUUCGUGGUGUAGCGGUGAAAUGCGUAGAUAUCAGGAGGAACACCGGCGGCGAAGGCGGCCUGCUGGACUGCGACUGACGUUGAGGCUCGAAAGCGUGGGGAGCGAACAGGAUUAGAUACCCUUGUAGUC